rnacentral:rRNA from 1 species
GACGAACGCUGGCGGCGUGCCUAAUACAUGCAAGUAGAACGCUGAAGCGAGGAGCUUGCUCUUCUUGGAUGAGUUGCGAACGGGUGAGUAACGCGUAGGUAACCUGCCUUGUAGCGGGGGAUAACUAUUGGAAACGAUAGCUAAUACCGCAUAACAAUGGAUGACACAUGUCAUUUAUUUGAAAGGGGCAAUUGCUCCACUACAAGAUGGACCUGCGUUGUAUUAGCUAGUAGGUGAGGUAAUGGCUCACCUAGGCGACGAUACAUAGCCGACCUGAGAGGGUGAUCGGCCACACUGGGACUGAGACACGGCCCAGACUCCUACGGGAGGCAGCAGUAGGGAAUCUUCGGCAAUGGGGGCAACCCUGACCGAGCAACGCCGCGUGAGUGAAGAAGGUUUUCGGAUCGUAAAGCUCUGUUGUAAGUCAAGAACGGGUGUGAGAGUGGAAAGUUCACGCUGUGGCGGUAGCUUACCAGAAAGGGACGGCUAACUACGUG